rnacentral:rRNA from 1 species
UACGGGGGGGGCAAGCGUUGUUCGGAAUUACUGGGCGUAAAGGGCUCGUAGGCGGUUUGUCGCGUCUGCUGUGAAAACCCGAGGCUCAACCUCGGGCCUGCAGUGGGUACGGGCAGACUAGAGUGCGGUAGGGGAGAUUGGAAUUCCUGGUGUAGCGGUGGAAUGCGCAGAUAUCAGGAGGAACACCAAUGGCGAAGGCAGAUCUCUGGGCCGUAACUGACGCUGAGGAGCGAAAGCAUGGGGAGCGAACAGG